AGGGCAUCCAUGUCUUGUAAUUGGAAUGAGUAGAAUUUAAAUCCCUUUACGAGUAUCAAUUGGAGGGCAAGUCUGGUGCCAGCAGCCGCGGUAAUUCCAGCUCCAAUAGCGUAUAUUAAAGUUGUUGCGGUUAAAAAGCUCGUAGUUGGAUUUCUGCCGAGGACGACCGGUCCGCCCUCUGGGUGAGUAUCUGGCUCAGCCUGGGCAUCUUCUUGGGGAACGUAGCUGCACUUGACUGUGUGGUGCGGUAUCCAGGACUUUUACUUUGAGGAAAUUAGAGUGUUUCAAGCAGGCUUACGCCUUGAAUACAUUAGCAUGGAAUAAUAAGAUAGGACCUCGGUUCUAUUUUGUUGGUUUCUAGUACUGAAGUAAUGAUUGAUAGGGAUAGUUGGGGGUGCUAGUAUUGGCCGGCCAGAGGUGAAAUUCUUGGAUUCGGUCAAGACUAACUUAUGCGAAAGCAUUCACCAAGGAUGUCUUCUUUAAUCAAGAGCGAAAGUUGGGGGAUCGAAG
rnacentral:rRNA from 1 species